AGAGUGGGCCAGACGGUCGCGCCCGGCAACGCCGGGCGAGGAAAGUCCGGUCUCCAUAGGGCGAGGGCGCUGGAUAACGUCCAGGCAGGGCGACCUGACGGAUAGUGCCACAGAAAGCAAACCGCCCGGUUCGCCGGGUAAGGGUGAAACGGUGGGGUAAGAGCCCACCAGACGGCCGGGUGACCGGUCGUGCUAGGAAAACCCCGCUCGGAGCAAGCCCAAACAGUGGGAGAUGAGGCGGCCCGCCGAUCCCACGGGUAGGGUGCACGAGGCGGCCGGUAACGGCCGUCCCAGAGAGAUGACCGUCCCCGACAGAAACCGGCUUACCGGCCCACUCUCCCC
rnacentral:RNase_P_RNA from 1 species